AACCCAUGGUGAGGGCACCUUCUCAACAGAUCCUUGUAUCUCUCCCAUGUAUCUAGAAUGUUCCUAGAUCCAUUUGCACAAAAGAAGAGAUAUCAUUCCUUAAUUU
rnacentral:snoRNA from 1 species